GUCAGGUACUUAUACAGAAGACAAGCUUCUGAGACACCAUUUCAGUGGAUCUAUGCUUGAGCUGGCUUUGGAGAUGAUCCAAGGCGGGUCUAGAGAUACUCAUUUACAGAGAAAGGCUGGGGCUGCCUAUUUUACUCAGUCAACUCAGUUAAACAAUGAUCUGAAUGUGUCUGAUUUUUGGCAAAGAUAGCCUAGCCUCCCACUACUCCAGAAGGAAUCUUGCACUCUAUUCUCUCAGAUGUUGAUGGUGGUAUGGCAGUAGAGGUUGAACCCUCCCACCAAUACUCCAUUACAUUUUAUGUGACAGAUGUAACAGAGGGGCAGUCUGACAAAAUGGCAUCUGACAUGGAAGCAUGUAUGAAGCACAGUUCAAGGGAAAGUUCCAGCAGGGAGAUGUUCUGGUCUGAGGACAAAGCUGUUGCCGGAAAUCACAGAACUUGAUGUUGAAACAGCAAAGACUGUUGUCACAGCUAGCAGUAAAAUCCACCCCUGUACUCAAGUUUCUUACAAAAGUACAUUUAAGUAUUCAUACUUUUCAGUGGGGAAAAAUCCCAAGCCCAAACUAAGAAACAAAACAGCACAAAUCUGCUUCUUGAUAGUAAGCGCAGAAGGAGAACAUUACGUUGGGCAAAGCGUUACUGUGCUGUGGUUUGUGCAAGCAUGCAUGGAGGAGGGAGGUUUCAGAUUAGUUUGAAGAGCAGCUUCUGGAAACUACUGGGCUCGGCAUUACUGAUUUAAUCCCUUGGAACCUUUUCCUUAUCUGCAAUGAAAGAUACACAUUUUAGCAGUAAUUCUAAACCUAACGUUCAAUGUCAGCUAUAACAACAGGCAAAACUAAACUCCUUCAAAACAUUCAACCACAGAUAAACUUUCAAAGAGUUAUGCAUGACUGCCAAGAAGUUAGCUACUGAUAUCUCUGAGCGUUCAUGGGAUAAAUUUGGCUCACUCGAAGUACUGCCCAAACAGAUGGGCCAGUUGUCAAAGCUAAAAAUGAGCUUCCAAAGUGCGCAAGAAGGCGCAAUGACACUGCCACAGUUCCUGAUGUCACGACCACAAGGAAGAAAACUUAAUGCAUAUUCAGCAUAUUCUGAGAGCGCUGAUACAAUAAAGUCACAAAAAUUACAGAUGGAGCUUGUAGAGGAAACACUACACUGGGAGAUAAGACUUGACCAUGGUUAUAGCCUUGCACUGGAAAAACAACCUACUUACGUUGGAUCAACCGAGUAGGUUCAGUAGAAACAAUUCUUUGCUAUUGCUACUGUGACAGAAGAUGGUGUAAAGGUGUAGUACUGUUUUUCUAUGUGUAACCAUCUUUAAGAAAUUAAAGUCACAUUUUUUAGACAAGUUUUUUUUUUUAAAAGAGACAAACUACUUUGAUUAAAACAAGGGGUAACGUGUGGAAGGGGGAAAUGAAAAAAUCCAGUGAAAAUCCUUCACAAUUUUUAGAGAUAAUCACAGAUAGUUUGGAUUUUUUAAACUUUGUCAGUAAUAACUGUGAAAGUUUACUCUAAUUAAAGGUGUAAUUUUAUCACAUUAAUCAAGUGCCGUGGUUCUAAAUAGCAUAUGGGCUUUUGAGAACUGAAGAGCUUGAUUUUCUGAAAGUGGGGUGCAUACUGAAUAGCUUGAAUCUGUUUUUCAGGAUGUAUUUUUAAUUUUACUUGAGAAACACCUGGAUCUCACUAGGACUAAUAAAAAACUGACAUUUUUAGAGAGAAAACAAACCCACUGAGUUGAAGAUUGAAGAAUGCCCAUAAAUUAGGCUUUGGGGAAAUAUAAGACUUAGCUUCUGCAGUAGAAUAGCCCUCACUCUAAGUAUGAAAAAGUAGAUUAGGCAGCUUAGGUAUGUUCAUGACAAAAAUGAAGUCAAUUCACACAGAUCAAGAAGUGUGUUGGUGCUAGGACUUAGCAGAAAUCUGCUAGCCUUUUAUUACCAACAUUAUUAAUUGUUCAGCAAUCACUGGGUUUGUACUUGUUUGAAGAGAGAAUUAAAAUGUUACCCUCAAACAGAGUCUAGGUCAAAUGCUCUCAGAUUUCUUCAGUCAAACUCUGGCAGUAUCUCUUAAGGGGAUUCGAAAGGAGAAAGUAAGUCAGAAGAAACUAGUUCCACAUUCUCAUCUACACAAUGCUUCCUAUGCUACACUGAAGCAAUCCCUUCGGUCUUCCUGUGCCUCAGAGUUGUGAUGACUGCAUUUUCUCGUUUGUGCACAGAAAGCAGAAGGCACAAGGACGGUCUACAAGAAGAUUGUUUCUUAAAUUACUACAUUCAAGUGAAAUUAUAACAGUGUUUCAUUUUAUUUUUUUUAUCUUUUUAUACAAGGGGCUCUUUUGCUGCGGUGACUCAUUAGAAACCUAGCAAAGUUAUUUUGAAGCAAAUCAGUACUUAUUU
ensembl:lncRNA